rnacentral:lncRNA from 1 species
UUCUCUAAGUUUGAUGAUAAACGGAGGACCACCUGCAGUUCCAACUUACUCUAGAGAGAGGUUGUGGAGUUGUAGAGGAAGACAUCCCCGGACUAAAUGUCAACCCAAGGAUUCACUACUUUUAAUAUCUACCCCUGCUCACUUAAGGGGAAAACUCAGGAGAGCAAAUAUGUUCCAUAGACAAACUUCUAGAAUAUAUUCAUUUACAUAUGCAGUUUCGUCAGACAUCACAAAAGUUUAAAGACCAAGAAUUGUUAAUGUCAGUAAGAUUUAAGCACUGCACCAGGAGAAAAGUUUAAGUCCUGUGGAUGGAGUUGAAAAGCACUUAAUGUAAUUAUGCAAUGUUCUGUUACUUUGUAUUUACAAAGUUUCUUAUGUCAGUUAUUUCACAAACAUGUUUUGUGAAAUCUCAGUUCUUGAGACUGUGUUAGAUGAAGGAAGACCAUCUAUGAAUACUUUAAAAACAGCUACAGUGCUAAAGAAUAAAUGCAUUAAAAAUUUAAAAACUGUGAAGUAA